CCCUUAGAUGUCCUGGGCCGCACGCGCGCUACACUGAGUGUCUGAGAUACGAGUCUGCCUGGUCCGGCAAGGUCUAGGUAAUCGCUAAAAGACACAUCAUGCUUGGGAUAGAUUAUUGCAAAUAUUAAUCUUGAACGAGGAAUUCCUAGUAAGCGCAAGUCAACAGCUUGCGUUGAUUACGUCCCUGCCCUUUGUACACACCGCCCGUCGCUACUACUGAUUGGAUGUUUAAGCGAGGUUCUCGAACUGCCAGCGACUUAGCUUCGGUGAGGUCGCAGUGUGGGAAGUGAACCUAGCUUUGGUGUCUAGAGGAAGUAAAAGUCGUAACA
rnacentral:rRNA from 1 species